rnacentral:rRNA from 1 species
UACGUAGGGGGCGAGCGUUGUCCGGAGUUACUGGGCGUAAAGCGCACGCAGGCGGUCUGUUAAGUUUGGAGUGACAGUUGGUGGCUUAACUGCCAAAGUGCUUCGAAAACUGACAGACUUGAGGGCUUCAGAGGGACACGGAAUUCCGGGUGGAGUGGUGAAAUGCGUAGAGAUCCGGAGGAACACCAAAGGCGAAGGCAGUGUCCUGGGGAGUACGUGACGCUCAGGUGCGAAAGCCAGGGGAGCGAACGGG